CAGCAGGUCAGCAGGAGGUGAGGGGAGAGGAUCCACCUGUCCUGUCCUGUCCUCUCCUGCCCUGUCCUGGCUCCAGCCCCUCCC
ensembl:miRNA MIR6165 microRNA 6165